UACGUAGGAGGCAAGCGUUGUCCGGAGUUACUGGGCGUAAAGCGCACGCAGGCGGUCCCCUUAGUCUGUAGGGACAGGGCACGGCUCAACCGUGUCAGGCUUACGGAAACUGUGGGACUUGAGGGCUUCAGAGGGAUGGGGAAUUCCGGGUGGAGUGGUGAAAUGCGUAGAGAUCCGGAAGAACACCAAAGGCGAAGGCACCAUCCUGGGGAGUCACUGACGCUCGGGUGCGAAAGCUAGGGGAGCGAACGGG
rnacentral:rRNA from 1 species